CACGCCGUAAACGAUGAGAACUGGUUUUUGGGGGUAUUGACUCCCUCAGAAACGAAGCUAACGCGUUAAGUUCUCCGCCUGGGAAGUACGGUCGCAAGACUAAAACUCAAAGAAAUUGACGGGGGCCCGCACAAGCGGUGGAUUAUGUGGUUUAAUUCGAAGCAACGCGCAGAACCUUACCUAGGCUUGAAAUCCUACGAAUUCGACGUAAUGGUUGAAGUGCCCUUCGGGGAACGUAGAGACAGGUGC
rnacentral:rRNA from 1 species